AUUGAACGCUGGCGGCAGGCUUAACACAUGCAAGUCGAGCGGAGAUGAGGUGCUUGCACCUUAUCUUAGCGGCGGACGGGUGAGUAAUGCUUAGGAAUCUGCCUAUUAGUGGGGGACAACAUCCGAAAGGAAUGCUAAUACCGCAUACGCCCUACGGGGGAAAGCAGGGGAUCUUCGGACCUUGCGCUCAUAGAUGAGCCUAAGUCGGAUUAGCUAGGUGGUGGGGUAAAGGCCUACCAAGGCGACGAUCUGUAGCGGGUCUGAGAGGAUGAUCCGGAAAACUGGGACUACGACACGGCCCAGACCCCUACGGGAGGCAGCAGUGGGGAAUAUUGGACAAUGGGCGGAAGCCUGAUCCAUCCAUGCCGCGUGUGUGAAGAAGGCCUUUUGGUUGUAAAGCACUUUAAGCGAGGAGGAGGCUACCUGGAGUAAUAAUCUAGGAUAGUGGACGUUACUCGCAGAAUAAGCACCGGCUAACUCUGUGCCAGCCGCCGCCGUAACAC
rnacentral:rRNA from 1 species